AGCGAACGCUGGCGGCAGGCCUAACACAUGCAAGUCGAACGAACCUUUCGGGGUUAGUGGCGGACGGGUGCGUAACACGUGGGAACGUGCCUUUAGGUUCGGAAUAACUCAGGGAAACUUGUGCUAAUACCGAAUGUGCCCUUCGGGGGAAAGAUUAAUCGCCUUUAGAGCGGCCCGCGUCUGAUUAGCUAGUUGGUUGAGGUAAUGGCUCACCAAGGCGACGAUCAGUAGCUGGUCUGAGAGGAUGAUCAGCCACAUUGGGACUGAGACACGGCCCAAACUCCUACGGGAGGCAGCAGUGGGGAAUCUUGCGCAAUGGGCGAAAGCCUGACGCAGCCAUGCCGCGUGAAUGAUGAAGGUCUUAGGAUUGUAAAAUUCUUUCACCGGGGACGAUAAUGACGGUACCCGGAGAAGAAGCCCCGGCUAACUUCGU
rnacentral:rRNA from 1 species